GCACUGGUUAAAAACCUUCGUUUUCAGGC
rnacentral:sRNA from 1 species